rnacentral:rRNA from 1 species
GCCUGCACGAAGCUGGAAUCGCUAGUAAUCGUGGAUCAGCACGCCACGGUGAAUACGUUCCCGGGCCUUGUACACACCGCCCGUCACACCAUGGAAGUCUGCAAUGCCCGAAGUCGGUGGGAUAACCUUAACGGAAUCAGCCGCCUAAGGCAGGGCAGAUGACUGGGGUGAAGUCGUAACAAGGUAGCCGUAGGAGAACCUGCGGCUGGAUCACCUCCUUUCUAAGGA